rnacentral:rRNA from 1 species
AUUAGGCAUCCAGAACCCACCUAAUCUUGUCUAAUCUUAGAAGCUAAGCAGGGUCGGUCCUGGUUAGUAAUUAGUUGGGCAUGAAUAGGGCAAAUA